ensembl:lncRNA
AGUACUUCUCCCCCCCCCAGGGGGGCUAUAGCAUGAUACAGGUUGGAGAAUACUGCUGUUACUACUGCGAGUACUGCAACUGCUGCUCCUACGCGUACUAAUCCUGCCAAAAGUACUGGGAGGAGAUGACCUCUGCUGGGAGGUUCCCACUUUGCCACUUUCUGUUGUUGUCCUUUUCUUUUUUUUGUUCUCUUAGAGAGGAAAGACGUGACGGCAGCAGUCCUUCCAGCCUCUCCGCCUCGCCGGACGCAGCCGAGCGUUCACUCGCUGCCGUUUGCUCGCUCGUUACUGAACAGAAGUUCAUGUUGCCUUCAGAACUGAGAACGCCUGUCUGCUGAUAAUCACAACCCGCCUGGAUCCUUCUUCAUGUUCCCAGUGCUUCUUUUUAACAGCAGAUAGCGCCGCAGCAUGUCGUGUUAGAGCGUUUGGACUCGGAGGAGAACACCGAUGGGAACAACCGGCGCAGCCUGAAAGACAUUCUCUACUUUUUUCCACUGAUUUUCUCUUUUUACUAAGUGAGGAAGACGCCGGGUUGGUGGAUUCAUCCCCCCAUAACUCCCCAUUACCCCCCUUUGGAUGUGACACUUUGAGCCAUGCUGCUGCUGCUGCUGCUGCUCUGCCUGCAAACCUCACAGCAAGAACAGACUCCUCCUGGUCGGUGUGACAUCUCAGACAGGUUGGACGUUCACACCUCCUGCUCUUCUUGUGCCGCCAUCAACAGGUGCCCCCCCGGCUUCCGCAGCGCGGGCACCGCCAACUGCAGGUAAGCACCAACCGCGAGCUGGGUAGAACGAGCAGAGUGCAGGUACGAGUCGACUGCAGGUACGAGUCGACUGCAGGUACGGGUAGA